rnacentral:tRNA from 1 species
UCGUCCAUGGCGUAGUGGUAGCGCGACGGUCUCCAAAACCGUAGGUCGACGUUCGACUCGUCGUGGACGGG